rnacentral:rRNA from 1 species
GAGACCCACGCCAACAGUUGCCAGCUCGUCCUCCGGGAUGGAGGAGACACUGUUGGGACCGCCUCUGCUAAAGAGGAGGAAGGAAUGGGCAACGGUAGGUCAGCAUGCCCCGAAUUAUCCGGGCUACACGCGGGCUACAAUGGGUGGGACAAUGGGUAUCGACACCGAAAGGUGAAGGCAAUCUCCUAAACCCAUCCUUAGUUCGGAUUGUGGGCUGCAACUCGCCCACAUGAAGCUGGAAUCCGUAGUAAUCGUGUUUCAAAAUAGCACGGUGAAUAU